rnacentral:rRNA from 1 species
UACGUAGGGUGCAAGCGUUGUCCGGAAUUAUUGGGCGUAAAGAGCUCGUAGGCGGCUUGUCGCGUCGUCCGUGAAAACUUGGGGCUCAACCCCAAGCUUGCGGUCGAUACGGGCAGGCUAGAGUUCGGUAGGGGAGACUGGAAUUCCUGGUGUAGCGGUGAAAUGCGCAGAUAUCAGGAGGAACACCAGUGGCGAAGGCGAUCACCUGGGGUUGUUCUGACGCUGAGGAGCGAAAGCUAGGGGAGCAAACGGG